AUCCAGAGAACUUGGCAGAGAUGCCUUGGUGCCUUCGGGACCUCUGAGACAGGUGCUGCAUGGCUGUCGUCAGCUCGUGUUGUGAAAUGUUGGGUUAAGUCCCGNAACGAGCGCAACCCCUAUCCUUUGUUGCCAGCGAUUCGGUCGGGAACUCAAAGGAGACUGCCGGUGAUAAACCGGAGGAAGGUGGGGAUGACGUCAAGUCAUCAUGGCCCUUACGAGUAGGGCUACACACGUGCUACAAUGGCGCAUACAAAGAGAAGCGACCUCGCGAGAGCAAGCGGACCUCAUAAAGUGCGUCGUAGUCCGGAUCGGAGUCUGCAACUCGACUCCGUGAAGUCGGAAUCGCUAGUAAUCGUAGAUCAGAAUGCUACGGUGAAUACGUUCCCGGGCCUUGUACACACCGCCCGUCACACCAUGGGAGUGGGUUGCAAAAGAAGUAGAUAGCUUAACCUUCGGGAGGGCGUUUACCACUUUGUGAUUCAUGACUGGGGUGAAGUCGUAACAAGGUAGGCGUAGCGAG
rnacentral:rRNA from 1 species